GCGCAGCAGUCGCGAAUUUUUCUCAAUGGGGGAAACCCUGAAGGAGCGACGCCGCGUGGAGGAUGAAGGUCUUCGGGUUGUAAACUCCUGUCAUUUGGGAACAAGUUGCACACGUUAACUGCGUGGGCAUUGAUAGUACCAGAAGAGGAAGAGACGGCUAACUCUGUGCCAGCAGCCGCGGUAAUACAGAGGUCUCAAGCGUUGUUCGGAUUCAUUGGGCGUAAAGGGUGCGUAGGUGGCGCCGUAAGUCAGGUGUGAAAUUUCGGAGCUUAACUCCUAAACUGCAUUUGAUACUGCGGUGCUUGAGGACUGGAGAGGAGACUGGAAUUUACGGUGUAGCAGUGAAAUGCGUAGAGAUCGUAAGGAAGACCAGUGGCGAAGGCGGGUCUCUGGACAGUUCCUGACACUGAGGCACGAAGGCCAGGGGAGCAAACGGGAUUAGAUACCCGUGUAGU
rnacentral:rRNA from 1 species